ACCAUGAUAAUUACCAACCGCCUGUGAGAAAAUUAAACAAAAGGCCCAACUUUUAAACCACCAUUUUAAACGACCUAUUACAUCUCAGAAAUAAAUCAUUGAUGAAAUAGCCUGCUUAACAGGAAAAUAGCUAUUCCAUAGCAAAGAAUUUCCCCUUGUGUGAUCAUGAAGAGAAUAUUAAGUAUUCUUCAGCUCAAAAUAGUGCUGUGGAUACCAUCUAUACAGCAAAGCACUAUGCUUGUGACAAUAGACCCUGCUUUC
rnacentral:lncRNA from 1 species